UGUUUCGAAAAUGUUACAUGCACCUGAUCUUGUCUGAUCUCAGACGAUAAGGAGGGUCAGGCUUGGUGUUAGUACUUGGAUGGGAGAAAAUGCUAGAAAAGAACAAUGACCUGGUAAUGA
rnacentral:rRNA from 1 species